AUGGUCCUUGCUCCUCGGCGGGGCACAAUGUGGCGCCGCCGUCAUCCGUGGCGGACACGCUCCGGUGGGAUCAGCACCGCGCGGGCUACAUCCAGAGGAAGCUCUCCGUCGAGAACCCCCUGGCGGACGCGCCCGCCCAGACCCCCCCAGUCAUCUGAGGUCAAUAGCGAGCCCGCCGGGACGUUCGCAGUGGGAAAUGAGGCGCCUUCAUCGUCAUCCGACGUUGCUCCGGCAGCCACCGGCGGUGGGAAGCUGCCUGGAGUGACCCAACACAUGGUGAUCGACACGGCGAGCGACGUGCCGUGGGUGCAGUGCGCGCCCUGCCCAAAGCCGCAGUGCCACCCUCAGACGGACGCAACCUACGACCCAAGCAAGUCCGGGACCUAUGCUCCCUUCCCCUGCAGCUCCCCCAUCUGCCGCCAGCUCGGCCCGUACGCCAACGGCUGCACCGGCGCCGGCAACACCGGCCAGUGCCAGUACCGCGUCCAGUACCCCGACGGGUCAGCCACCUCCGGCACCUACAUCUCCGACGUGCUAACAAUCACCCCCACCCCGGCCGGCACGGUCAGCAGCUUCCGCUUCGGCUGCAGCCACGCCCUACAGCGCCCCGAGCUCUUCAGCAACACGACCGCCGGGAUCAUGUCGCUCGGCCGGGGCGCGCAGUCGCUCUCGUCGCAGACAAAGGGAACCUACGGCAACGUCUUCUCCUACUGCGUCCCGCCGACGGCGAGCCAACGUGGCUUCUUCACUCUCGGGGUACCGAGGAUCGCCGCCUCCAGGUACGUGCUGACGCCCAUGCUCAAGAGCAAAAUGGCCCCGUCCAUGUACCUCGUGCGCCUGCAGGCUAUCACCGUCGCGGGGCAACGGGUCGCUGUUCCGCCGAUGGUCUUUGCCCCCGGCGCGGUGAUGGACUCCCGCACCGUCAUCACGCGCCUCCAGCCCACGGCGUACCGCGCGCUGCGCGACGCCUUCAGGGCCCAGAUGAGCGCGUACCGCGUCGCCCCGCCCAAGGGCCAGCUAGACACCUGCUACGACUUCACCGGCAUCCGCACCCUAAGGCUGCCCAAGAUCUCGCUGGUGUUCGACAGCCGGAGCAACGGCGGUGCUGCAGUGGAGCUUGACUCGUCAGGGGUGCUGUUCAACAGCUGCCUCGCCUUCGCAUCCACUGGCGGCGGCGACGGAUCCACCGGGAUCAUCGGCUACGUUCAGCAGCGUACAAUCGAGGUGCUCUUCAACGUCGGCGGCAGCGCCGUCGGAUUCCGCCGUGGCGCGUGCUGA
rnacentral:rRNA from 1 species